AUAACAAUACAGGACUCUUUAGAGUCCCUGUAAUUGUAAUUAGUCCACUUUAAAUCCUUUAACUCUGAUCAAUUGGAGGGAAAGUCUGGUGCAGAGCCAA